AUUGUGUCACGUUAAAUAACUUACUUGUCUGUACGAUACAAUUGAAUCGAAGACAACUAGCUACAUUGAAAAACUAAACUGAUGGAGAAUAGUGUAUCUGCUGCUGCUAAAUAAGGAUCUGUCAACUCGUCCUUUACAUGCAUAAAUAAAAAUAUGUCAACUCGUCCCUCACAUGCAUAAAAGUACAACUCGUCCCUCACAUGCAUAAAAGUACAACUCGUCCCUCACAUGCAUAAAAGUCCCACUCGUCCCUCACAUGCAUAAAAGUUUAAUCUUAUUAAGAAAAAGACCAACUCGUCAAACUAAUGCCAAAAAAAAACCAGAUUAAUACCUAUAUGUAAAGAUAGAAAAACACGCAGGACACAUACAAUCUGACGAAAGAAAUGCCAACUAGCCCCAAUAGUUAAAAACUUAUUACUGAUAAUAAACAAGAUCCAAAACUUUAUUUAGUAAUGAAAAUUGUACAUGUAUACAACCAUUUCUUUUUUCAAGAUAUCGAAACGUGUUGUGUUUAUAGCAUUGCGUGAUUACUGUUAUUACUUAAGAUUAAAAUAAAAACGUGUACAAAUUGUCAGACUACUCCAUCCGUAAUUUAGUCAAUGUAUACUACACUCAAAAUUGAAAACAUUGAAUAAUACAAUGAAAAAAGUCGAACCAAGCUGAUGUAGAUAAAAUUAUGUUUCCACUUGUAACCUCCGGAUGAUGUCAAGUUGAAAUCGUUAAUAAUCAAAC
rnacentral:lncRNA from 1 species